AUGGUGUUCCUGCUGGAAACCCCAAUCUGCAUGAGCAUCUUCUCAGAAGUAACAGCUAGCAGUUGCCACUACAUUGACAGGCUGUUUCACCCUGAUCUCCAGAGAGUUCUGCAAGGUGUCAUGCAAGUAAGACAUGAAAAAUGCUGUAAUUGGAAACAGAAGCAAAAAGCUAAUCUCAUAGUGUCAGGAGCUGUUCCAAAAUUGUUGUACUUGCUUCAGCAAGAAGCCACAAGCAUGGAGCUGAAAGCUGAAUGUGCAGUGGUAUUGGGAAGUCUUGCUAUGGGUGCUGAAAACAAUGUCAAGUCUCUACUGGACUGCCAUAUUAUCCCUGCCUUACUGCAAGGACUUCUGUCCCCAGACUUGAAGUUCGUUGAAGCUUGCCUCCAAUGCCUUCGUACCAUCUUCACCAGUCCUAUCACUCCAAAGGAGCUUCGUGUAAAGGGCCAAUUCAUCAAGCAAUUUUAUUUUAACCCUGGCGCCGUUCAGAAUAUUGCUCACCUACUAAACUUUCUGUCCUAUAAUGUUUGGAUGCAAGCGUUGAAAUGCUUCUCAGUUUUAGCUUUUGAAAAUUCCUAAGUAUCAAUGACCCUGGUAAAUGUUUUGGUUGAAGGUGAGUUGUUACCACAGAUUUUUGUGAAGAUGUUACAAAGAGAUAAGCCCAUUAAGAUGCAGCUCACAUCAGCAAAAUGUUUAACUUAUAUGUGUAGAGCUGGAGCAAUUCAGAUGGAUGACAACUGUUUUGUAUUGCCUUGUUUGCAGUAAGGAGAGAUUGCUAGAGGAGAGAGCUGAAGGAGCUGAGACACUUGCCUAUCUGAUUGAACCAGAUGUUGAGCUGCAAGAAUCGUUAAGCAUAACCGAUUACCUCAUUGCCAUGCUUGCUGAUUAUUUCAAGUAUCCCAAAUCAUUGGGAUAUUUAAAGGCUUAACCACGAUUUAAAACAUGCUCAAGAACUCCACCAGGCUGCAUUCAAGCUCUAUGGCUCUUUUGGAACAAAUUAUGAAGACAUCUGGAAGAAGGUCCGGGGCAACCUUCAGCUAGCAACAGUCUUGGAGCUCUUAAAUCAGAGAGACAAUCUGCUUCAACCAGAUGAGUGGUUUUAUCUAUUGCCGACUCCGGGAAUGGAGUUAAGAUAA